CUGAAAAGACCAAGAAAGAGGUCGCAGAGCAAACUGGUGUGUGUUGGAGUAGUUGAAGGAGAGAGUCUGCAUUGGACUCAGUGGCAAGCCAUCGUUAACCACACAGUUUCCGGCGGAAGAGGAGAGAACACGGAGGAAUGUGGGGUCCACAAGCGACUGAGGAAAUCCUUGACAUUUCAGACGAAGGUUGAUGAUUGGACACAUGGGACAUUUGUUCAUUACCUCGACUCUGAACUUCUUUCCUUCUCUCCACUUCACCUGCGUCUGCCUCACCGCCGGUUCGCUGCUUUUGCCCUCACAUAUUGCCCCAGAACCUAUACAUACAACCCCA